AAUAUUGCACAAUGGAGGGAACUCUGAUGCAGCAACGCCGCGUGAGUGAAGAAGGUUUUAGGAUCGUAAAACUCUGUCAUUGGGUAAGAAUAAAUGACGGUACUUAAUGAGGAAGCCCCGGCUAAUUACGUCCCAGCAGCCGCGGUAAUACGUAGCGGGCGAGCGUUGUCCGGAAUUACUGGGCGUAAAGGGUACGUAGGCGGCUAAAUAAGUCAGGUGUGAAAUACCAGUGCUUAACACUGGAAUUGCAUUUGAAACUGUGUAGCUUGAGUGCAGGAGAGGAAAGUGGAAUUCCUAGUGUAGCGGUGAAAUGCGUAGAGAUUAGGAGGAACACCAGUGGCGAAGGCGACUUUCUGGACUGUAACUGACGCUGAGGUGCGAAAGCGUGGGGAGCAAACA
rnacentral:rRNA from 1 species